UGAGCAGAGGCGCUAUUCACAGCGCAGUCCCGUUACCUCAUUGACAUUCAGUCCCAGUGAGAGAGACAGACAGAGAGUAAGAAGACAGACAUUGUCCGGGACAGAGACAGCGACGACCGAGCCGCUCGAGAUCUACAUAACGACAGUAAAUGGACAUUUUAGGCGGAAUGAAGAUUAAAGUUUGAUGCGAGCAUGAACGAGUGCAUGUGAUCUGAAGAACAAUGAGCACUGAAUGUGUUCUGACCUGGAUUCACUGAGGACUUUGGGAGAGACAGGGUGAGGGGUGAGGGGUGGAAGAGGGAUUUAUUGGGUCAAACAAACCAAACUACCCCCACCGCUGAAGGGAAAGUCAUAGAAGGAAAAGUGCAGCGAGCAAGAAGAAAAAAAAAACACCAGACAAAGCGGUGAGGAAACGAUGAACACUGAAAAGCUGGUUGUGCUGUGAUUUCCGUCUAAAAGCAAGGUGAACUGAAGCUGGAGAGAGAAGCACAAUGUCACGCUCAGAUGAGGUCAACAAGAUGACAGAAAAUGUCUACAAGGGCAUUCUGGACCAGUUUAACCCCAGUCUGAAGAAUUUUGUCACCAUGGGGAAACACUAUGAAAAGGCUCUGACGGGCGUCACAGUUGCAGCUAAAGGAUACUUUGACGCUCUGGUCAAACUAGGAGAGCUGGCUAGUGACAGCCAGGGCUCAAAAGAACUGGGUGACACGUUAUUCCAGAUGGCAGAGGUUCAUCGGCAGAUCCAAGUCCAACUAGAGGAUGUGCUGAAGCUGUUUCAUUCAGAGCUGCUGUCUCAACUGGAGCAGAAACUGGAGUUAGACAUCAAAUAUCUCACCGCAACACUGAAGAAGUACCAGAGUGAGAGGAAGUCAAAGGUGGAGUCUAUUGAGCGCUGCCAAUCACAGCUCAAGAAGCUGCGCAGGAAGAGUCAGGCUAGUCGCCAUCCCAACAAGUAUGGAGACAGAGAGAUGCAGUACGUGGAGCUGAUGAGUCGCCGGCAGGGAGAGUUGGACUCUUUAGUUGCUGUUGGUUACCGCUCUGCUCUCACAGAAGAAAGGCGACGCUAUUGUUUUCUGGUGGACCGUCAAUGUUCAGUCACCAAGAUCCUCAUCAACUACCACUGCAAGGUGAGAGAGCUGUUGUCUCAGAAGCUGUCAUCAUGGCAACAGUCAUGUUCCCAGCCAACCAAACUACCAGAACGAGCCCUGAACCUGUUGCGUCAUACUGCCCCCCAGAGCUCUGGAGGAGCUGGACUAGCUGAGGUCCUGCGGAAUGCCAAACUGGGAAUCUCGCAACCUGGAGAACAAAGGCUGUCUGUACAGGAAGUCCCACCUCUGUUGAACGGUGACAGCAGCAGCCGUUCUCAGCAGCAGCAGCAGCAGCGGUCUUCCCAGUCUGACAUUCUCUCCCAGUCUCUGAUUGGCCUCUCAUCCAGCAGCACAGCUCAGCAGAAUGGAAACGCCCACUCCAGUUCUUCAGCUAGCACCGCCCACUCCCAGCCAGCAGUGAGCAUAGCCGGGUUACAGUCUUCUCUCUGUACAUCCUCCCACAAUUCUCUGCAGGGCCUGACUCCACCCCUUACGGCCCCCCACAGCCCUCCGCUCCCCCACAGCGCCCCUCUGUCCCGUGCACUCACACCUGUCCUAUCCACAGCCCAUCACGCAGUGUCCAGCUCUCCCACUGCUCUUAAUGUGCUGAAGGGUCCAGAGCUCUACUCCACAUCCACACUGCCAUUGCCGAAGAGACAGACCAGCGACGCUCGAAUGGGAUUCUUGGGCUCCACACUUCCCCGUGUGCUGCCUCUCUGUGCCCCGUCCCGUGUGGAGGCUCUGUUCCCUCACUCCACAGACUCCUCAGAGGGAGAGAAGGGAGGAGACAGAGGAGGAGCUUCAUGUCUGCUGUCCUUCCUGCCUGGAGACACUCUUUCCCUGCUGAUCAGCGAACCCAGAGACGGCUGGCACUACGGCCAGAACGAGAGAACUGGACGAAAAGGCUGGUUUCCCUUCUCCUACACACAGCCGUAUCCAAACACUCCCGGACAAGAUGUCAGUCCUCCGCCCCUGUCUAAGGUAAACAGCACAAGCAUGGGGCAGUUGGACAGGCUUCCUCCCGCUGGUCAGCCGCAGCAGGUCAGUCCUGACUCAGAGGACGAGAGGAGCAUCAUAUCUCAGCGUGUCAGCACCUUCAGACCACGACCUUACAGCAUGAUCAACCCCGACACCGGCAGGAUGAGCCCACGGCUGCGUCUGAAGGACAGGGUCAGAAAACACACCAUCAUCAUGACUGUCUCUUCUGACUGUAUUGCUACAUAAGGCAAGACACUGCAUGCCAAUAGGAUGUCCAGCGAUUUCACCUCUCCACCUCCAUCACCCACCAGGAUCAAUCCGUUUGCCCACAUUCGACUCAGGAAGACGGUGACCAAUGAUCGCUCCGCCCCACUAAUACAGUAGAGCCCUUGAUUGACAACCAGAGAUGCUGACUGUCAUAAGGCCACUAAUGCUUAACGCCAUAAUGCAGUGCCUCUAUUAUACUGAAUAAUGUUUUGAACCUUUGAGAGGCAAAUAUUACACACUUCCCAACAGAAACACAUUUAGACAAUAACCAAUAGAAUUACAGCACAGAUAAAUGUAUUAAGAUAAAUUAGCAUUCAGUACAUCAUAUGUAUAUUAUUAUAUAUGUAUUGCAUUAUCAGAAAAUGAAAUAUUUCAAGGGGUUUUUAUGUAUUUCAGAUGAGUGCACAUUAAAUAGAGUGAGGAAAAUCUGACCUAUAACAUUUGUUUUCAUAUUAUGGACAUAUUACUGUGAUGCAUGAUGUGAAACGUGGUAAAUUACAAAAUGAAAAUGAUGACUUAUUUCAGAGUAGAGGUGUCCAGUUUAGUCACAUGAAAUAUUUUAGAUUUACUUGAAGAUAGAAUGGUGAUUUGGUAUUUCAUUAUUUACAUUUUUAAAGGAAUAGUUCAUCCAAAUGUAAAUUCUGUCAUUAUUUACUCGCUGUCAUAUGCUAUAUUUUUUUCUUUAUCUCGGAAACACAAAAGGAGAAUUUCUGAAGAAUUUUUACAGUUUUUUGUACAAUACUGACAUUAUUUUGGGGUGAAUUAUUUCUUUAACUGAGUGUACUUCCCACAUGAUAUGAUACGAUAGUUUCUCAGAAAACUUUUGAAGUUUUUUUUUAUAACAACGACAAGGCAUCCUGGAUCUUUCUAGAAGUAGGUGUGCAGGCUGUUGGAGUCAAAGGAAGCAAUAAAUUGAAUGGAAAAUGAAGUAUAUUUACAGAAGGGCUUUGAAAGAGUUGGAAAGGAUUUUGGAAGAGCGAUGUGUUUGUGAAAGUCUCUCAGCUCUUGUCUCUUGUCCCCCCUUCCAUCUGUCUUACGUAUUUUGUUAAAGCCCAAAUCUCCCUAACUAAAGCUUGUAGUCAUGAGUUGCAGCAGAUUGUAGGUGAGGGAUUUGAAGGCUAAGAGUGAGAAUGCUGUGUGCAGAGAGAAGAUCUGAAGAUGUGAUAGAAAGGUCUGGAAAGUGUAGACGUGUGGGAGGAUGUGACUGUGGUGAAGUGCUGUAGCUGUAGGUUGUUGAAUUUUUAAAAAAGACAUGAAAAACUCUCGUCCUUCCCUAUAUUUUUGCCAUCAUUUUGGGACAGAGGAAAUGUCUAUGUCCGGUGGUUUGAAAUUAACCUAAAAAAUAUGAUUCAGUUACUUUUGAGUUUGUGUUUUGAGUAAAUUGUUUCUGAACUGACCUUGGUCAUGGUAGCGCCAUAUUUAAUUUUUGACAGGAAUGAAAACGAGGCUGCAAAAUUACAAUGUGUUCAAUGGAUUGUACUGUUGUAACAAAAAUUGUUCAGCUGAUGAAACGUCUUACUGAGAAAAAGAAAAAAAAACCCUCCACAACUUUAAAUGUGAGUUGUGAAAAUGACGUGAACUAGGACGUUUAUAGCAUUGUGCCAUUGAAAAGACUGCAUGUAUAUCCCUCACAACGUUGUUAAAUUCAAUAUGGCAUCUAACCUGACUAAGGUCUGUUAGUGAAACCAAUAUAACUAAUUACUGAUGAUAACAUCAACAUUAUUGUUUUUUUGUUUUUUUUGUCAACUCCAGGGUCAGUUUGUUCUGAUACCUUUUAUUAACUUUUUCUAUUAUAAGGAUAUCUUAAAUUGAAUAAUGUAAAAAAGGUUAAUCUCCAACCUUAUGUAUGUAAAUAUAACUGUCUACUGUAAUACAGUGAGGUCCAAAAGUCUGAGAAUAUUGAAAUAUUUAAUACAAAUGUUUUCUUAAUGUAUCAGCAUAACAAUUUCAGUAAGAUGAACUGAAAAAUGAUCAUAGAUUAAAUAUUUGAUGCUCUAAAACCUGAUGAUCAUGUUCUCCAGCAUGAUUUGAGAUGAUACAAAAAUCCGACCGUCUGAGUCACAUGAUCAACGAUGCUCGUUUACGCUUCCGUGAUCUGGAAAUAGUGCACAAUCUGGAAUGUCAUGUUCAUUUCCUAGAACGUAUUUCCGAGUUGAAAUGAAAAGCGUCUCAGGUUACAUGGUCUCAGACUCAGAGUUGGGGAAAGUCACUUUAAAAGUAAUGCAUUACUUAGUUACUUUUUAUAGAAUGUAAUCUGUAAAGUUACUUUUGCAUUGCUUUUCUCGCCUGGGCUGGGCUUGCUUGUUUGUUUUUUAAUAACAAAAAAAGUUAUAUUUUGGGCAAAUGUAAAGGCCCUUUCACACCAAAAGUGAAAUGAAUAAGCCUCAGGCUGAAGGAAAUGCAAAGUCAGUCAGUAAAUUGGAAAAAGUAACUUGAGUUACUUAUUUGAAAAAGUAACUCAUAUUUUAUUGUACAUUUAAAAAUAAUGCAUUACUUAACCUAGUUACUUGAAAAAAGUAAACUGAUUACGUAACUUGCGACACCCGACAUUGCUCAGACUUUUGGACUCCACUGUACGUUAGCCUGUAUUAGUUUGUAAUUUUAAUUUCCGAACUGACGUAAUCACGGUUGAGCAGGUUUGAUCCCUGCUGACAUUGUACUUUUAUUAAAUAUCCCAGAGACUCCUGCUACUGAACACUGGCAUUUAAAGCAGGACUUUACUGUACAAGUCAGUAUGGCUGCUUUGCUGUACUAUUUUGAUGAUUAUUUUAUGCUUAUGUGAUAUGAAGACACCUGACACACUUUCCCUAAUGUUUUUGGCUCAGGAUUCAGUCUCUAUGGAUCAGUCAUAUAUUUUGGACUCUUGAAUGUUUUAACAUCAUGAUAACUCUAUAGACUUUUUUUCUUUUUCUUCUUCUUUUUUGAAAUGUACUUCAAUAAACAAAGUUAAUCUCUGUG